rnacentral:misc_RNA from 1 species
AACGCACGAGACCUGCGGACCUGCGGAGGGAUCAUUAAUGAGAAACUGCCCCUCGCGGGUAGAUCUCCCACCCUUUGUAAACUUACCUUUGUUGCUUUGGCAGGCCCGUCUCCGGACCGCCGGCUUCGGCUGGCCAGUGCCUGCCAGAGGAUUCUAAAACUCUGUCUGUCAGUGUUGUCUGAGUCUAUAUACAAUCGUUAGAACUUUCAACAAUGGAUCUCUAGAUCGGAAGAGCACACG